GCAAACUUGGUCAUUUAGAGGAAGUAAAAGUUGUAACAAGGUUUCCGUAGGUGAACCUGCGGAAGGAUCAUUAACAAAUCCAAUAAUUUUGUUUGGGGGGUUUCUCCCGGCAAAAAUAUUAAUCCUCUAGUACAUUCGUGUACUAGUUGAUAAACAUAAAUGUGUGUAGUGUUGACUGUGUGUGAAAAUUUAAUUUAUUGACAACUUUUAACAAUGGAUCUCUAGGCUCUUGCAUCGAUGAAGAACGCAGC
rnacentral:misc_RNA from 1 species